rnacentral:tRNA from 1 species
UAGGGUGUGGCUCAGUGGUAGAGCGCUCACCUAGAACAUGCAAGGCCCUGGGUUUGAUCCUCAGCGCCUCAA